rnacentral:lncRNA from 1 species
UCGCCCACGCCCGCCGCGGCCGCUGGUGCUGCUGGCACCAGCUCGCGGCCCCGCCGCCGCCGCCCAGGUACCCCACGCCGACGGGCCUCGCGCACGCCGAGCUCAUCGCCGAUCUUCUUCUCUCCCCACCACCAGGUGACGGCGAGGGACGCAACACCUACGUGCAGGUCGCGACUUGGUACUAAACCAAGAUCAAAUCUACGCCUUGAUCCGCUUGUGAAAAUGAGCCGUGGGGGAAGCUGUUCGAUGGUUGCGGCUAUACCGCUGCAAGGAUACGCUUAUAUAGCGCUGCGACUCUGCGAGUGUGACGGAAGCUGGCCGCUAAGGUCCUCUCUCUCUCUCUCUCUUCACUCAUUCUUUCUCUCUAGAAGACGCGGAGCAGGGAAGAUAAGCGCGAAAAGGUGUCAUCGCCCACUGAAAGCGCUAUCCUUUCUUCUUGUCUAGGACAGCUUUUCAGCCUGACUUUACCCCUACUGGAUU